AUUGAACGCUGGCGGCAUGUCUUACACAUGCAAGUCGAACGGUAACAGGUCUUCGGACGCUGACGAGUGGCGAACGGGUGAGUAAUACAUCGGAACGUGCCCAGUCGUGGGGGAUAACUACUCGAAAGAGUAGCUAAUACCGCAUACGAUCUGAGGAUGAAAGCGGGGGACCUUCGGGCCUCGCGCGAUUGGAGCGGCCGAUGGCAGAUUAGGUAGUUGGUGGGAUAAAAGCUUACCAAGACGACGAUCUGUAGCUGGUCUGAGAGGACGACCAGCCACACUGGGACUGAGACACGGCCCAGACUCCUACGGGAGGCAGCAGUGGGGAAUUUUGGACAAUGGGCGAAAGCCUGAUCCAGCAAUGCCGCGUGCAGGAUGAAGGCCUUCGGGUUGUAAACUGCUUUUGUACGGAACGAAAAAGCUCCUUCUAAUACAGGGGGCCCAUGACGGUACCGUAAGAAUAAGCACCGGCUAACUACGUGCCAGCAGCCGCCGCAG
rnacentral:rRNA from 1 species